rnacentral:rRNA from 1 species
CAGCCGCCGCGGGAAAACGGAGGGAGCUAGCGUUGUUCGGAAUUACUGGGCGUAAAGCGCACGUAGGCGGCUUUGUAAGUUAGAGGUGAAAGCCUGGAGCUCAACUCCAGAACUGCCUUUAAGACCGCAUCGCUUGAAUCCAGGAGAGGUGAGUGGAAUUCCGAGUGUAGAGGUGAAAUUCGUAGAUAUUCGGAAGAACACCAGUGGCGAAGGCGGCUCACUGGACUGGUAUUGACGCUGAGGUGCGAAAGCGUGGGGAGCAAACAGGAUUAGAUACCCCCGUAGUCCCUGUCUCUUAUAC